CGCCCCCUGAUCACGUAAAAAUUUGCGACAGCCACAAUUUUGCAGAUGUUGUGCAGACGCGUCGCGACCGAUCGCAAAACGUCAAAUUAUUUCGUAUCACGUACCGCGAUUGUUCGCUUACCGCUUACUGCAGUUUUCUGUCAUACAACUAGCGCCAGUCGCAAUCGGGUAGCAAUAAUUGGCACUAAAAAGCCACAUUACUUUUUUUUUUUUGCUGAACAAACUGGCAAAUGAAUUUAUAAAAGCGCGUUACAUAUAAACAUUUCAAAAUGUUUAAGUGGAAUUCACGUUUGAAACGCCAAGUGAGAGCUGCUAAUUCUGUUCUUUUCGAUGAAGCGUUACUAAAAAUAAGUGAUCUAAUAAUAAUUUUUGCUUUAUUUUGAAUAAUAGCUAUAAAAAUGUAAUAGUGUCGUCAAACACAGGUAAAAUUUUUUUUUUUAAUCGUUUGAUAAUUUGUAAUCAGAUAGUUGUUUACGUUACGAACCUAUUUUAAAAAAGGAUGAAUCAAAAUUAUAGCCUAAUUUAUUAAUUUCAUUAUCAAUUAAGUAAGUACAUAAGCUCACAACCCAUCUAGUGUUAAGUGGUAUAGACCUCACAACGUGAAUGCCGCCCCCAUUUUUUGAAACGAGGUCUGAGUUUCAACUGUAUACCAAAACGGCUGCCCCAUUCUUCAAAUUGCAACGCAUUACUGCUUCGUGGUAGAAAUGGGCGGAAUGGUGGUCUUGCGGGUUAAUCAAACGCCCUACCACCAACGAUUUCAGAAUAUUUGCUAAUUUGAUUUUAAAUAAAAGAUGGAUCCUUAAUCAUGGAAGUCUUCCAUGUAUACCUAUAUGUCAAAUACAUGUUUCAUUGGAUUUAUUGAUAUCUGCCUGCGGGAUUCUAGCACUGGUUCAGUAAGAUUUCAAAUUAAAUAGUAAAUUCUAGAAUAAAUGAGUUAGUUUUAUGGUUUUAUCAAUAAUAAAGUGUACAACAGAUCCAUCUUACGCCGACAUGAGGCCGACAACGCUAGAACAACCAGUCGAUGAUAUUCUAGGCGAGAUGCUGCUAUUCUUUAUCAAGUAAUAGAUAGUGGAUUUGUUUGACUUGGCAAGAGUAGGCUUUGAUUUGAAUACCAGAAAUAUAGUGCAGUCUUUCACAGCUUGAAGGGAAAUAAAAGCUGUGCAGACUAUUCAUAAUAAUGUUCACCCAAGGUCAUGGGCAAUAUGACGUGAAUAGGAAACUGCAUUUCAGACAUUAACUUAAUGUUCUAUAUUAUUUUUAAACAAAUGAAUCUAAUAUUUUAAGACAAUAAAUAAAUAUUUAUUUUUAUAAUUAGCCCAGUUUUUCGUCGACGAAGCCAUCUUAAGAGAAGCUUCAUUGCAAAUAUCAGGCCGAUAUUUAACUAUAGCGGACAACAAACAAGAGUAGACACAUCGUGAGCUGUAGUUGUAGAAAGAGGAGAAAAUGGAAACUAAGGCGAACCACUGGCUCAUACAGCUUUCAUUUCAGCAGAGGCUGCUCGUACGCAGGCAGAGGCCGCGCAUCUUCCAGCUGAGAUAUAUAAAAAAAUUCAAGGAAUUGACCAAUAUCGGCAAAAACCUUGUUUAAAAUAA